CAAUAGCGUAUAUUUAAGUUGCUGCAGUUAAAAAGCUCGUAGUUGGAUUUCGGGUGGGAAUGGCCGGUCCGCCGUUUCGGUGUGCACUUGCCACGCCCACCUUGCUGCCGGGGACGUGCUCUUGAGUUCACGCUCGGGACACGGAGUCGGCGAGGUUACUUUGAGUAAAUUAGAGUGUUCAAAGCAGGCCUACGCUCUGAAUACAUUAGCAUGGAAUAACACGAUAGGACUCUGGCCUAUCUUGUUGGUCUGUAGGACCGGAGUAAUGAUUAAGAGGGACAGUCGGGGGCAUUCGUAUUUCAUUGUCAGAGGUGAAAUUCUUGGAUUUAUGAAAGACGAACUACUGCGAAAGCAUUUGCCAAGGAUGUUUUCAUUAA
rnacentral:rRNA from 1 species